rnacentral:rRNA from 1 species
UACGGAGGUGGCGAGCGUUGUCCGAAGUUACUGGGCGUAAAGCGCGCGUAGGCGGGGGAUUAAGUGAGAAGUGAAAGCCCUGGGCUCAACCUGGGAAUGGCAGUGGAUACUGGAAAGCUAGAGUGCGGUAGAGGGUAGUGGAAUUCCCGGUGUAGCAGUGAAAUGCGUAGAUAUCGAGAGGAACACCAGUGGCGAAGGCGAGUCUCUGGACGACUCCUGACACUGAGGCACGAAAGCUAGGGGAGCAAACAGG